rnacentral:rRNA from 1 species
CGAAGUCUAGUAGGCGCUCUCCAAUACUUGACACUUACCAGGCCUGAUAUCUCUUUUGCUGUUAACAAAGUUUGCCAAUUCCUUCAUGCACCCACUACAGUUCAUUUGACUGCUGCCAAACGCAUUGUUAGAUAUGCCAAGAACACUCUUAAUGUUGGUCUAAAUUUCUGCAAGUCAUCAUCUACACUUAUAAGUGCCUUCUCAGACUCUGAUUGGGCAGGAUAUUUGGAUGAUAGGAGAUCCACUGGUGGAUUUGCAGUAUUUUAUGGUCCUAAUUUGAUAUCAUGGUGUGCAAGAAAGCAAGCUACUGUCUCCAGAUCUAGUACAGAGGCAGAGUAUAAGGCAUUAGCAAAUGCCACAGCAGAGAUUAUUUGGGUGCAAUCCAUUCUAAGGGAACUUGGUAUUAAGGAUACUCAAGCUCCAUGUUUAUGGUAUGACAAUCUAGAUGCAACGUACUUGUCUGCUAAUCCAGUUUUUCAUGCCAGAACAAAGCACAUUGAGAUAGAUUUUCACUUUGUGAGAGAAAGAGUUGCCAAGAAGCAACUUGAUAUUCGGUUUGUGCAUUCUAGAGAUCAAAUUGCAGAUGGAUUCAUAAAACCAUUGCCUACCAAAAGCUUUGAAGACUUCAAGCAUAAUCUCAACUUGAUGAAGUUGUGA